rnacentral:rRNA from 1 species
CCUACGGGAGGCAGCAGCCGCGAUAAUAGACGAAAGUCUGACCGAGCAACGCCGCGUGAGUGAAGAAGGUUUUCGGAUCGUAAAACUCUGUUGUUAGAGAAGAACAAGGAUGAGAGUAAAAUGUUCAUCCCUUGACGGUAUCUAACCAGAAAGCCACGGCUAACUACGUGCCAGCAGCCGCGGUAAUAGCUCACCUAGGCGACGAUCCCUAGCUGGUCUGAGAGGAUGACCAGCCACACUGGAACUGAGACACGGUCCAGACUCCUACGGGAGGCAGCAGCCGCGGUAAUA